AUACGAAGGGGGCUAGCGUUGCUCGGAAUUACUGGGCGUAAAGGGCGCGUAGGCGGCUCGACCAGUCAGGCGUGAAAUUCCUGGGCUUAACCUGGGGACUGCGCUUGAUACUGUUGAGCUUGAGGCCGAGAGAGGGUGGUGGAAUUCCCAGUGUAGAGGUGAAAUUCGUAGAUAUUGGGAAGAACACCGGUGGCGAAGGCGACCACCUGGCUCGGUACUGACGCUGAGGCGCGACAGCGUGGGGAGC
rnacentral:rRNA from 1 species